CAGAUGAUAGUUUAUUUAAAACAUGAAGUUUGGAGAUUCAAAAAUAUAAUCUGA
rnacentral:tRNA from 1 species